GUUGAGAUAGCUUAGUUGGUAGAGUAUGUGACUCUUAAUCUCAGGGUUGUGGGUUCGAGCCUAAUGUUGGGCA